rnacentral:lncRNA from 1 species
UCUCUCUAUCAUUGUCAGAAUUUUUAUUUAAAAAUUGUUCCUUCUUCUGGAUUUUUAUCUUUCAGAAGAUCCUCUGAAGUUUUCACUCUGUUCUGAUGACACAUGUGAUAAGGACUGACUGCUAACAAAAUUCAGAGAAAAAUGUAACCAGAACGCCUACCCAAGGUAUCAGAGUCGUGGACCACAGUCACCUCCUACAGAGUGGUUCAGUCUCAAAAACAACAGAGUUCUGGGUGACCAACAGGAUCCUCUACCCUCCCUAAUACUACCUGUCAAUGCAGGAUAUGCUGGCGUGUCCACCAGUUACACAAUGUCCAAAGAAGAAGAUUUCAAAUCGUAUUUCAUCAAACUAGGUGCAUCCUGUGGGGAAGAAGAGAGUACACCACGUGUUUGAAGACAAUAGCAGGAUGCAAAGUCCCAUCUCCAAACUCGUGUUUGGAGUGUCUUCAUGAAAUUUAAUUAGAAAAUUCUGUGUGUG